GACGAACGCUGGCGGCGUGCUUAACACAUGCAAGUCGAACGGAAAGGCCCUGCUUUUGUGGGGUUCUCGAGUGGCGAACGGGUGAGUAACACGUGAGUAACCUGCCCUUGACUUUGGGAUAACUUCAGGAAACUGGGGCUAAUACCGGAUAUGAGCUCCUGCUGCAUGGUGUGGGUUGGAACGUUUCGGCGGUUGGGGAUGGACUCGCGGCUUAUCAGCUUGUUGGUGGGGUAGUGGCUUACCAAGGCUUUGACGGGUAGCCGGCCUGAGAGGGUGACCGGCAACAUUGGGACUGAGAGACGGCCCAGACUGCAACGGGAGGCAGCAGUGGGGAAUAUUGCACAAUGGGCGGAAGCCUGAUGCAGCAACGCCGCGUGCGGGAUGACGGCCUUCGGGUUGUAAACCGCUUUCGCCUGUGACGAAGCGUGAGUGACGGUAAUGGGUAAAGAAGCACCGGCUAACUACGUG
rnacentral:rRNA from 1 species